CGUUCAGUAAGCAGUGUGAGGCGUGCUCUCAGAUUAGAUAAUUGUGUUUUUUGUGCCAGCAUUCUCAUCAACAUGGCAGGUAGGAAAUUGUGCCAUCUAGAUGUUCACCUGUUCUGCUUCAUUGUCCCAUGAAGCUGACAGAGAAGCCAGCUGAGAAGUUAAGGAUUUAUAGGUGGGGAAUGGAUGAAAUCUUUGGACAACUUGAGAGACGAUAACAUACACGCAAGUGGAUGCUGUGAUAGACAGCAAGAGAAAAGGGAGAAAGGCAGGUUCCCUUAAAAAGCCACCCCAGUUGGUCAAGGUCCCAGUACCCCCCAUGGGGCUUAGAUAAGCCAUGACUAAGGCCCAUUCAAUUUCCUUCAGUGGGACUUAGUCUUGGAUUUAUCUUUCACUAGAUGUGCCGAUGAAUUCUGAGGCUCCUUCAAAAUCACAUAUUUAUUUUUGGUACUACUGUCCAUCUACAUUGCAUUUUGUAGAACAAUGUACAUUGCACUUGUCCAAAGCAGCUUAUGAACCAGGAAUUUCCAAGGAGCAACAACACAAAACAUCAGUUUGGGUGGAAAAGCAGUAGAUAAAUAAGUAAAUAUCCAUAAAUGAUCAAUAUUGAUCCAAAACCGAAAGCAGUUUGGUUAGAGUGAGAGCCUGAAAUAGCAAUUGUUCUGUAGAUGAAUAAUGAUCUUUGUUGCUGUUGUAACCCCUAUCUCACCAAAUUAUAGAAACAGGUGAGCUUAACAGGUGUAAGAUUUCUUUUCUCCACCUUUCCCAGGUCUCAAAGACCUGUUUUGAUGUAGAGAGGCCAGGACUGUGCACUGUACGGUAUUCCAAAUGUGGAAUACUCCUUCCCGCAGAGUUGAAAUGCUCAAAUGGUUCUGUGACCAAAACAGCUCAUUGACCGUUGCUGGUGUGAUUUUAGGAGGGCUGCGGAGUCAUAAGUUACUUCUAACUUCUUCAUAUUCUUUUGGCAUAAUGACAUUUCUUAUAUCGCUGGGGAUGGCAGUUUUAUAAUUCCAGCAGUACUCAGGGGAUAAACACCUUGGUUUGUUUGUUGAGGGGCUAAUAUUUGUUCAGGUGGCUUUUGUCAUGCCACACUGCCUCAAAGUUGUGCUCCUUGUCCUCCUGGAUGCCUUUAUAGCAUUGGCAAGUGGGGUUCGGGACACGCAGUGGGUGCCUCACAACACAGCCCCUCUCUCUUCCUGGGCCAUGACCUUCAACAGGAAGGAGUGAUGAAAAGACCACCACCCAAGGCUCUUCAGCUCCAUGCCCAGAGUCUCAUAGUCCCUUGCUGCAGGGACUGUUAAAGGCUGUGUGGGGCAGUAUCAUUUGUACCCACACGAAUCUGAAGGAAGUGGUAGUGCUCAGUGGGCUUGAUAACACUUGGCAACUUUUCCGCCACAUUGUCAAUCUUUGCACCUGGAAGACUGCACAUCUCCUGGGACACCCUGUUUCCUCCACACACUGCUGUCUCUCUUCCCCUCAGUACGGAGUCACCUGCCACCGCCACAUGUCUCCUCCUCCUCUGGGGAGGGGUAAGAAUCAUUCUAUGUGCUGUGCCUUCCAAUGGCUGCUUGGAGUGUUCUAAGGUCUACAAGUGCUGUUUUUGAGUCUUCCCCUCUUGCCUAUUGGAACUUAUCUGGAUAUUGUUAGGAUAGGUUUCAAAGGCAGGAACCUUGUGGUUUUAAUUCCUACUUCGUCCUCUCAGCUUGCCUUCUCCAGACUGCAAUUCCCUUACUCCAAUAUUGUCUCCAUGGAAGGUAGCAUUCUUAGUUUCUUUUUAUUUAUGUUUUUAAAGUGUCCAUCUAGACCAGCAUCCUGUUCUCAAAGUGGCCAAUCAGAUGCUCCCAGGAAGCCUGCAAGCAGGACUUGAGUGCUACAGCUCCCUCCCCACUUACGAUACCCAGCAACUGGCAUUUAGAGAUGUGUUGCCUCCCACGGUGGAGGUAAAAUAUAUGCAUCCUGGCUAGGAGCCAUUAUAAUCAACAAAUUAAUUAAUCUUCUUUUAAAAAAAGCUUUGCAUUGGGGCAUCAGGUUGGCCACUAUGAGAACAGGAUGCUGCCCUAGAUGAGCAUUUGGCCUGAUCCAGCACGACCCUUUUUAUGUUCACUGAAAGGAUUACAUACUUUUAUAUAUGUUAUAUUAGGAAAGGAGGAGCAAAGAAUGCAAUUCUAAGCCAGUGGCCACAGCACAAGGCAUUUGUUAGUUACCAAGAGCAUCAGAACCCCUUUUUCCUAGUUGGCAUUCACUUAUAAACCAUAAUUCCAUGUCUUCUAAUGUUUUCCAUGGAACAGGAUAUGGGUCCCACAACCCACAUUUUAUUGGGCAGAAGCUGCAAGCCAGCGGCACCAUGACAGUGAACUUCCCUUCAAAAGAAGUAAUCAGGAGAGGCUUGCCGAGGGAAACCAAGACCCCAAAAAGGCCUUGGAAUAUUAAAUUAAUCUAGUAUGUAGCUCUUAGUCAUAGAUUCUGAUUUAGCCAAGGAGUGUCCAUGACUGAUUUAUGCAAACCUGUGCUAAGGCUACUCUUUGAAUACAGUGUGCAGUUCUGGUCAUCUCAACUUUGUAAAUGAUAUUGUGGAGUUGGAAAAGAUUCAUAAAUGGGCCACCAAAAUGAUCGAGGAAAGGUUAGUGCAUGACGUCACACACACUAUGCCCUCCCAACCUGGCCAGACCCACUCAGCCUACCAUCCACCAAGCACAUUUUCUGGAGGAGCAUGACCAGGGCUCCCCACCAACAGGCUCCCAUCUGCUCCUGGCUCUGGCCAAGGCACCUUCCUCAGAGUGGAGAGUUGGCAGCAGAGAGCUGCCACCGCUCUCCUCAACUGGGCUGCACCGCAUGAAGCUCCGCUGCAGUGGAGAGCGGCUGCAGUGUGCAAGACGCCCAGCCAUGGCUGCUCCAUCUCCAGGUCAAGCCUGACUCGAGGGGCUGCUGUGUGUGAGGGAGGGUGAUGUUCACCCUUGCACAUCCCACCUGACAAUAAAUAGUCCAAACUGUUUUAAACAGUGGGGAAAAGAUGUAACAAACUUCAUUUCAUGGGGGGAAAUCCUGCAUAAAAUACAAAAACCUGACAGACGCAGGAGAAAGAUGGAGAUUUGCCCUACCUGAUCUUAGACUUUACUAUGAGGCAGCAUGCCUUUGCUAGAUGAAAGAAUGGAUGGAGCUAAGAGAUACCAAUAUUUUAGAUACUAUGCUUUGGAUGGCAUACCUAUUUGCAUUAUGACAAAGCAAGGGUACACAAAGGAUUUCAAAAUCAUGCUAUGAGAAGAAGCAUAUGCGCUGUCUGGCAGAGACAUAAAGAACUCAGAGACAAAAAACCCCAAGGUUGAAUAUGGAAAACCGAUGGGCUACUUACAAUGAUUUUACAGAGUUUAAAGAGGGAAGGGUUUAUCUGAAAAAAGAGAAGAGGUAUCAGAUUAUACUAUAGCUUGGUUUCAGUACCUCCAGGUGAAUGAGUUAUUUAAAAGAGAUAAAGAAAAGGGUUUUGGGGAAACGUGUUCAGAAUUUGAAAAAAAGGAUGAUAAACUAAUUUAUAAUAUUUAUAAACUGUUAUGGGGUGGGAGACUAAAGAGGAAAUAGUGAAGGCGACAAUGAUUAAAUGGGCUAUAGAUAUAGGUUAUAAAAUAGAAAUGUCAGUGUGGGACAAACUGUGGGGGGAAACUGAAUCUCUCUGCCUGCUACCUUAUUAAGGAAAAUUUACAAAAUAUGCUGUACCGGUGGUUCUUGACACCCACCAAACUGCUGAAAAUGGCAUACAGUGAUAGCCAACUUAACCUACAAGUAGGAAUGAACAUAUGAGCAGCAAACAUUAAAUAAAGGAAUAUUUGAGAUGAAAAUGGGUGGAAGAAUAGAAUAUGCAGCUGACAAAAGAUUACCUAGAAUGUCAUGGAGAGAUGGACUGGGAAGUCUGAGGGUGAGAGGUAAUGAUGAACAUUCUAUGAUGUAUAUAUGUUUUUAAAAUGCAUCAAUAAAAUUACAUAAACAAGGAACCUCUAAGUUCCCACAAAAUCUCAGAAUUCUAUGGAACUGUCCCUAAAGCCACCCCACUCCUGCUGCCCACGCUAUGCUAUAAAUCAGGGAUAUCCAACAGGUCGCUCACGAUCUACUGGUAGAUGCCCGGGAUGUUUUGGUCAAUCACAGUCGAUCUCUGGGUACCUCUCCUUAGCAUUGGUAAAAUAGAAUUGAGCCCGCCCCCUCGCCCCACCCUCCAUUUUUGCACGUUCUGCAGAACAGAAGACAGAGCUUACUCAGUGAGGCUGUUCAUUUCCCCAACGAUCUGUUAGCGAGUGUCUGUUCCCCUUUCUCCCUAAAAAUGGGCAACAGCUUAGACUUGAACUCCCCCCAAAGGGGUAGAUCACUGCCAGUUUUCAAUUUUGUGAGUUGAUCGCAGUCUCUUGGGAGUUGGCCACCCCUGCUAUAAAUGGCUUCCUCACACAUAGCAAGGCACUUGGCUUCUACCCCUUGUUCUGCUCCUGAACUGACAACACAAGGAAUCACACCCAUCCUACCCUGCUGCCAAUCUUGGGCACAGAGCCAAGUGAGUUAUGGCCAAGUGAACAUUCUCCUGACACUUUCUUGGUAUGCCUAUGCAAUUGUGACAUGGCAGUCUUAGCAUGUCUAUUAUUAUGUAUUUGAAGAGAUCCAUUGCACACUCAUCAGAUGGUUAUAUUCUGUGUGUCUAUGAAAUAACUAUCUGUGAGAGAAAUCUGGCAUCCUUAAUGCUCUUUACAGUGUAGUGAGACUAAAAAAAGAAAAAAGGUAAAGGGACCCCUGACCGUUAAGUCCAGCUGCAGACGACUGGGCUGGGGUUGCAGCGUUCAUCUCGCUUUACUGGCCGAGGGAGCCGACGUUUGUCCACAGACAAUUUUUCCGGAUCAUGUGGCCAGCAUGACUAAGCCACUUCUGGCGAAACCAGAGCAGUACACGGAAAUGCCGUUUACCUUCCCGCUGGAGCAGAACCUAUUUAUCUACUUGCACUACUGCUAGGUUGGCAGGAGCAGGGACUGAGCAACGGGAGCUCACCCCAUGGCGGGGAUUCGAACUGCUGACCUUCCGAUCAGCAAGCCCUAGGCUCAGUGGUUUAGACCACAGCGCCACCUGCGUCCCUGUAGUGAGACUAGUAGCUAUUAAUUUGUGCAUGUUAAUUAACAGAUGAAGGACUUCUUAUUAACCAAAAAAAAAGCAUGCAUAGAAGUGUGUUUAUGUGGAGUGGGGGGGGGGUGUCUGUAAUAUAGUUGUUUGGUGCUGUGCUGUGCUCUCUGGGGUCAUCUGCACUGUAAUGAGUAUGGGUUGCUCGUGCGUAAGUUGCCGCCUCUCCUGGCUAUGUUGCGUUGUUAAACCUUUCUGUCUGGACAGCCCUUCACUUCGUGGCUGCCUCAGUCGUUAGCAGAAUCUGUCAGUGGGAGUUUCUUAAACCUUUUCCAACAUAAAAGUUGUUUGACACCGAGUCUCCUCCUACUCUCCCUGCGUGGAAGCCUUCUGAGCAGGGAGGGCGUGGGUAGCGGAGGACCUGUGCUCUCCCCGCUGGUGUCCGGUGAAGAGUCCUGGAGCCCUCUCGCCGAUUCCCCCAUCUGCCCCACUUUAUCCCUGGUGUUGCGCUGAUUUGCUUCCCCAUCUGCUGAGCUGCCUCUCUCCCUGCUGGGCCCUUCUCCAGCAUCAUUUGAGAGCCUUCCCUCUAGCUCCGAUGUCAGUUCCCUGACACGCACUUAUCCUGCAAUUUCUUCCAUUUGAUCUGUGACUUCUAGGCAUGGGUCUGAGAGAUUUUUCUUUUGUCCCACUGAUUUCCCUGGCAAAACCCAUUGUUUACUGCUGAAUCAGAACAAAUGUCAAUCUGCAGAAAAACCAACUGAUGUUUGCUUUGAUUUACCAGUAAAGAGGGACCCAUGCCUAGAAGUCGCAGACCAAAUGGAAGCGUGGCUGAGCCUUCUGUCUAACAGUCAUAGGGACCUUGAAGGUUCUCCAAUCCAACCUGUCCGGGGCAGGAACUGCAAUGCAGGAUGCAACUCCAAUGCAAGUGGGGUGUGUGUGUUUGCACUGCUCAGGCAAAGUAGUAAAACAUCCCCAAUUACAUCACUGUUCAUUUCAGUCCCAAAGCCAUUCAGUAACAUGAACAUUUUAAAACAAAUUUAUGAGCAUUCAAAGCCCAAAGUGAAAGGAAACUAUCAUUAGCUGAUCAAGAUAAGAAGUGGUGUUUUCUUAUGAAAAUAAAGUAUAUUCCAAUGUUUGUGCAGAUGGCAAGGGGGAUUCUAUGGUUAUAAAGAGCUACGUUGUGUUGAGUUAGACACACUGGUCCAUCUUUUGAACCAGUUCUUUUUUUCCAAUUUUUUUAUUGAUUUUCCAAUUUUAUAUCAAACAGAAAACAUCAAACAAACAAACAAACAUUUAUCCUAACUAUAAUAAUUCCAUUUUUGUUAACAUUGUUAAAUGACUUCCUCGAAUCCCCCUAGCUGAGUUUCCAUAUAAUCCAUUGCAGCACUUUUCCAAAACUAUUUUCACAUAAAAUUUACUUAGUCAAUUUACCUCUUUCUUUCUUUUCAUUUUAGCUUUAACAUAGUAUUUUCCAUCUUUUGAACCAGUUCUACCUACUUAAAGACCACCAGUCCUUUCACAGCAGGAACUACCUGAUAUUCUCUUGUUGGAGUGUGAACCUGAGUUUACCACCACAAGCAACCUAGCCAUCGUGUUCAAGUGGAUCUGGCAAUGCCUCCUGCCUGAAACUCUGGAAAGCUGCUGCUAGUGACCAAUAGCCUCAUUCAAUAUGGAACAAAGGAAGCUGCCUUAUACCUGUGGUCCAUGUAGCUCACUACUGUCUGCACUGAUUGGUAGUGCCUCUUCAGGGUUACAGGCAGGGACUCUCUCCCAGCCAUACAUGGAGAUGAUUAAAGCUGAAAGCUGGACCUUCUGGAUGGAAGCAGAUGUUGUGCCACUGAGCCACAGCCCUUUCCUAAGAUGCUUUCCUAUGUUCUCAGUGAUUCUUGGGGUUCUCUGACCAGUGGAGCCAGAGUGCACACUAUUCAAACUCCAAGGGCAAACAAAAUGGCCAAAUAGAACCUACAAGACAAUCCAAUCCUACUUUUAUGGAGCUUGGCUUUGCACAUGCACACACCCACCGCAGCCUGAACGAAAGCAUGAUAAUUAUCUGAAGAGAUAUAGGAGCCCUGAGGCUUGUGGCUUUCAUAUGGAGUGUGUGUAAUGUCUCCUCUUUCAGAGAUGGCGUGAGGGCUUUGUGCGAAUGCACCCUAUGGGAUCUGAUAAAAAUCCCUUUG